rnacentral:lncRNA from 1 species
GAAAAUUUAUGAAGGAUUUGGCAAAUGUCAGACUGAUAAGUAGUAUAUAAAUUCUCAACAAAGGAAUUCGCAUUAAAUUUCAACAAAUAUUCUCAGAAUUCGAUAAUGAGACAUAAAAUAAAAUGGAAAAAUAGCUUCAAAUACCAACCGCAGAGAAGUAUAAAUAAAACAUAAGUAAUGAAGAAAUACAAAUUUUUAUA